GCUUUAAUCAGUGUUCAAAUGCGGUAACUUUCCGAUUAUAAAUUUGAAAACCAAGAAAUUCUGUGGGAUUCUAACUGAUUUGUUUCAUAAGAUUAAGCAUUUGAGCCUAUAAAGGAUACAAUAUUUAUAACGAUAAUCUGCUCAUUUGGGAAGAAUCAAAGAUCCUGUAGCAUGUUCAGGAGGUGAAAUAGGUUGUCACAGAGGGCUGAAGAGCGAGUGGUUGAUACUGAACGGUGUAUCGCGCACCCAACGAGCGUAUAUAAUCACAUAAUGUGGUUAUCAUGCCAAUUGCGUAAAUAUUUGAGGCAAUUUGUGGCAUGCAACCGGUCGGAUGCUACUUCAACCAAGUGAUGAAAGUGCGAUUGAGUCUAUGAUCGACUGCACAUCAUUUCUGCUAACUUGUUGGAUGGGAGUGGCACAUGAGUCAAAAAGGAUGUAUAGAUAUGGACUGACAGGAGGUUGCAGAAGAUGAGCAGGAAGAGAAAGAGCAAUGGAAUAAAAAAGGGUCGAAUAGGCGUGAAGCCGUGGCGCCCGGCGUUCAAAAGGAUAAAGGGGUCUAGUGAUUUUUGGAAAAGAAGUGAGGAUAUAUUGUUCUUUUAGUCUUAAAGGGUCCGUGAAAAUGUAACACGCUCAUCACCAGAAGGACAAUGACUCUUGGCGCUAGAAAACAGGGUGACCAAGAAAUUUUACAUUUUUCCCAAGUUAAUCCGUGAACAGGUAAAUUUCAGCUUCAGGUUACUAUUUGUAAUGUUGACCUUUCGAAUUACUUUUUUGAUAUCCGUGAC